GCCCGGGUGGCGGAAUGGCAGACGCGGCGGACUCAAAAUCCGUUGCCUUCACGGGCGUGGGGGUUCGAGUCCCCCCCCGGGCA
rnacentral:tRNA from 1 species